UACGAAGGGGGCUAGCGUUGCUCGGAAUUACUGGGCGUAAAGCGCACGUAGGCGGAUUGUUAAGUCGGGGGUGAAAUCCUGGAGCUCAACUCCAGAACUGCCUUCGAAACUGGCGAUCUUGAGUCCGGGAGGGGUGAGUGGAGCUGCGAGUGUAGAGGUGAAAUUCGUAGAUAUUCGCAAGAACACCAGUGGCGAAGGCGGCUCACUGGCCCGGUACUGACGCUGAGGAGCGAAAGCGUGGGGAGCGAACAGG
rnacentral:rRNA from 1 species